ACGGAGGGUGCAAGCGUUGUUCGGAAUCACUGGGCGUAAAGGGCGCGCAGGCGGUUUGGUAAGUCAGAUGUGAAAGCCCACGGCUUAACCGUGGAAGUGCAUUUGAAACUACCAGACUUGAGUAUCAGAGGGGAAAGUGGAAUUCCCGGUGUAGAGGUGAAAUUCGUAAAUCUCGGGAGGAAUACCGGUGGCGAAGGCGACUUACUGGAUCAAUCCUGACGCUGAGGCGCGAAAGCCUGGGGAGCAAACAG
rnacentral:rRNA from 1 species